AUUGGUGGCGGGCGUGGUCAGACAUGGGUAAUGGAAGCCUUGUUUAGCAGACGCCCUUCCUCUGUGGGACAGAUUCCUGGAUGACUGCCCCGGUCUCUGAUCCCUACUGGUCUCACCUCAUCAAACAAUCAAAUCAGUCAGAACCCAGUCAGCAGAACCCAGCGUUUCCUCCCAAGGCUCCUUCUCCCUCAGCAAAAUGUAAGACUGAUCAUCCAAAAGUACAUUCAGUGUGUUCACAGAUGAUCGGGGGGUUGGAGUCAUAGAACACCAGUAUGAGUUAUGACCAGCAGGGCCACAUAUCACAGGAACUGUGGCUUAGUUAUGGCCAGUCGGCUUCCCAGAGUUGGGGUUUGAUCUACUGAAGAUGACACCUGAUAUUUGCAGUACAGCUUGGUGCUUCCUCCACCAUGAGCUGCUGUCCUCCCAGAGAGCGCUGCAGGCCAUCGCUGCAGCGACCCUGACUUAACCAAGCUCACAGGAUGUGAUGUCAGAGGCACAGAUUCUCUGCAGAAAGUGUUGGAAAUGAAAGCAAAGCCCUGGGAGCCAACGAAAUGACUCUGAUUAGUCUUGCAGAAAACGUUGUCUGGGCUUAUUACAUACAGUUGUUUUUAAGUA